UAUUGUUCAAUAUUGUGCAAUUAGAUAUUUCUUGCUAUUGCGCAAUACUGUGCAAUUGAAAAUACUUGCUAUUGCACAAUACUGUACAAUUGAAGAUUUCUUGCUAUUGCGCAAUACUGUGCAAUUGAAAAUUUCUUGCUAUUGCACACUACUGUGCAAUUGAAGAUUGCUUGCUAUUGCUGAAUACUGUGCAAUUGAAAAUUUCUUGCUAUUGCACAAUACUUAGUAUAAUAAUUUUGGAUCCUGAUUUGGACCAACUUGAAAACUGGG
rnacentral:lncRNA from 1 species